UGCCACACUGCAAGACCCAAAAUGACACUG
rnacentral:piRNA from 2 species